rnacentral:lncRNA from 1 species
CUUCUCUUGGCCCACCUUUGUUUUCUGCCUCCCACCAUCUACAACCCACUGCAGUCGAUUGAAAGCUCCUUCCCCUUCCCCCGUCUCCUGCAUGCUGCAUGCAUCCUUAGCUCUCAGAAAGGCACCCUACCCACCCUCUGCUGGGCCUGCCCCUCCUCUAUUCCAGAUGUGUCUCAGGUCACUGCUCGCUAGGUAGCCGUCUCCCCUAUACAAGGGAGCCCUUGUGGGUGGGACUGAGGCUGUGUUGGUCCCUGCUGUGUCCUUGGCAAGGGCUGGACACGUAAGACCUGGUCAUUUGUUGCCAAGUGAAACAGAAUCCAUGAAUGUAUUCAUUUGUUCAGUCAACAAAUGGGCCAGGCCCAGCACUGUCGAAGCAAGAGGAUCUAAAAACAGCCUCGUCCUCCCCUUCCAGGAGUCACAGCCUGGGGGAGAACGAGGAGCAAAGAUGAUUCCAGGUGCCUCUGGAAAGUAUGGUGGUGCCAGCACCAUAGCACUGGCCUCUGGGGCAGGGACUCAGUCAAGUGGAAACUGGCACAGCAGCUGGUGCAAGGGGUCCCUGCAGAUCCAUGGCACACCUCUGGGGUCAUGGGAAGUGUGCACACUAGCAAACUCGGUUCCAUGGCAUGUCUCUGGUUGCUGUGUGGGG